CCUACGGGUGGCAGCAGUGGGGAAUAUUGGGCAAUGGAGGAAACUCUGACCCAGCAAUGCCGCGUGAAUGAAGAAGGUCUUCGGAUUGUAAAGUUCUUUAGUCAGGGAAGAAGUCAAUGACGGUACCUGAAGAAUAAGCUCCGGCUAACUACGUGCCAGCAGCCGCGGUAAUACGUAGGGAGCAAGCGUUGUUCGGAAUGACUGGGCGUAAAGGGUGCGUAGGCCGCAUGUCAAGCGUGCUGUGAAAUGUCCGGGCUCAACCCGGGCCUUGCAGCGCGGACUGGCGUGCUUGAGGCCGCGGAAAGCAGGCGGAAUUCGUCGUGUAGCGGUGAAAUGCUUAGAUAUGACGAAGAACCCCGAUUGCGAAGGCAGCUUGCUGCAGCGGAACUGACGCUGAUGCUCGAAAGCGCGGGUAUCGAACAGGAUUAGAUACCCGGGUAGUC
rnacentral:rRNA from 1 species